CCCCCAACCCUCCUCCCACCCCCUCCCCCAGCCCUCCUCCCACCGUCCCGGCUUCAGCCGGAGGCUCUCUCCUUCUCUUGGUUUUAUCCGUUAGGCUACUGAGCUGGUGAGCAUUCAUUCAAAAAUAAUCAAAACCUUGGAAAUCAUUGAUGAAGGCAGGAGAGCUCCCUGGAGGACGUGGCUGUGACCCGCAUCGUUUCUGGAGGGGCUACGGCGUGAGCGAUAACCACAGACUUAGUGGCUCAAACAACACGAAUUUGUCAUCUUACAGUCAUGGAGGUCAGAAGUUGGACUCGGUCUCACUGGGUUAAAGCCAAGAGCACCAUGGAACACAGCAGCCGUGCCUGUACAGAAAGCCACACUGAAAACUGCAUUAGGAAGAAAGAAAAGAGGAAAUGCUUUGGUAAUGGCAGUGUUACCCAGAGGCUGCAGGAAAAGACAUGGGAUGCAGUGGAGACCAGAUGCCCGUCUCACCUGCAGCAACGCCGUCGACUUGCUUGCCCUCUACCCACACAUCCCUGUCUUAGUAGUGUCAGGGGGGUGCCUCAGAAGCACCAAGGUGGUUACCCCACGUUUUCUCAUCACAUUCCUGUGACUGUGGUGUUAUCUUGGGAGAGUUACUUGAGUUCAUGGCUCUCGUGAGCCAUGUGUGUGAGACAGAAAGCUGCCAGCACAGUGGCUUUGAGACCACUUUAGAACUUCGAGCUCGCAUUUCAUGCCCAGAUCCUGGGAGGAGGGGACCUUUGGGAAACCAGGGAGCCACUGAGUGGUGGAGAAGAGCAUCUUGGGCAGAGGGGACAGCAAACCUCAGCCUCCGACUGGGAGCAGGUCGGUGAUUCACACACACAUCAGCAAGAAGCUGGGGUGAAGCAGAAAAUAGGGGGCGUUGGGCUGAGCAGGUGGGGUGAUGAACUUAGCCUUUGUCUGAUGGCUCAGGAAAGGAUGCCUGGAUCUGGCACGUGGGAGAGGCGUGGCUUGAUGGCUCUGUUCACUCUCCUUGGUUUGUGGAACACUUGCAGGUAGGGGCACGGUGAAGAGACCCCAUCCAGGGAGGGGUGAGGGAGGCUGUGGAUGCGUGUCAGGGAGGUGGGCUGGACUGGGUGUCCGUGAGGAUGGAGUGGCAGCAGGACCUGCCUGUGGGCGUGUGGAAACGAGGGAGCGUAAGUCCUCUGCAGGACCUUCAGAUUUCUCCGACAUUCGAUUCCUGGACUUCUUUUCUCUUUGUGGCAGAUUCUCAUCCAAGUGGUUUUAUCAGUUGACUUUGGAAGCCCUCAGGUGUUCAAUGAUUCCUGUUAGAAUUCAAUCUAGGACUUGGGCGCCUUAGUUUCAUCCCGAUAUCCUCUGAAGAGAACCUCCAGGACAGCAGCACUGGUGUGUCCAUUCGUGGUCUCUGUUUGGGGAGGAUGCUCCUCUGUGAAUGUUCCUAGUUCUCUGGAAGGGUCCCUGGGACCCAGCACUUCCGCGGGGGGGGGGGGGUGCUUCCUUAUGGCAGAUGUGCUUCUAAUUGAGAGCUUGAGGCUCCGUGUAGAUUCUCCACCCAUGAUGAUUGUACAAACAGCCUCUACUGGGGCUGAAGCCAAGGGCUCAGUGCAAUCACCGCAGCAGAGAUGGGUGUGCUUUAAAGAUGUGAUGAGGCUUCAGAAGUUGUCUUGCCUGCACUUAGGCUCUGAACACUGGAGUUUGAAACCCUGAUGAAACUGAGAUAUGUUUUCUCCCAAAUGCCCUGAUGAAACUGAGAUAUGUUUUCUCCCAAAUGUAUCAGAAUUCAACUUAAAGUGGAAGCAGAAGGAUAUCUUGUCAAACACUCAUAUCUGUUUCACAGGAAUACAUUGAAAUGGCAGGCGACAGGCUGCGGGCAUCUUAAGACCCACACGUUGUCCGCUAGUUAGUGUCAGGAUGGUCUCUGAAAGGCCGAGAUGCCUUCCCAGGUCGCUGGCCGACUGAGGAGCCUGAAAGCUGGGCAUAUAUUCAUUUAUGUUUUUAAAGGGAAACACGCAUUUUGUUAGAAGAGGGUAAAGAGCAUCAGCAUUUGGGGAAUUAAUACUUUAUUGAGUCCAUUUGUCUUUAUGCUAACAUUUUGUUUACUAUUACUUCAUGCGAUUAUGUCAAAAAAGUAAAAUAGAAGAUUACCUAUAGCUUCUGAUGAAUGUAGGCAGCAUUCGUGUUUGUUAUGUAUCUGAUUUAGGGCAGAACACCUGUCCUCCUGCUGUUUGUCUCUCUUCAACGCCUUCUGUCAUUUGGCUGUAAAUAAGCCCCAUUCACAGAAGGAAUGAGCCCAUUGUACAACAGAUCUGAUCUCCACAAGGAACCAGAAAUGAUACUUUGCUUGUAAAAUAGCUGUAUUCAGAAGCAUAUAACAUUUUGGUUUUCAGUUCUAAAUAUUUAGUGGGAACUGUUACUUAGCGGCAACAUCUGUCUGUUUGAAGCAAUAAACACGACUGUACAGGGAUUGUUUUUAAAAAUGGAUUCUUGGCCAUAAUUUGAGAGCCAGAGAGUUAUGGACUGAAUCGUGUCCCCUCCAAAUGUGUAUGUUGAAGUCCUAACCCCGGGAUGUGACUGUAUUUGGAGGUGGGGCCUUAGAGGAGGGUCUCUGUCCCACCUAUAAGAACACAGCCACGCACAGGGCAGCCAGGAAGCAGUUUGCUCUCUGUUGACUUCAGCUGCAGAGGGAGGUUGUUUUGUUUUUCUUCGUCAGAGUUGUUAACUCACAUCGUGCAGAGCCGGCCUCCUGAUGCUCUUUGUAAAUCCGGAGGGGCUGAAGGCACGUCCGUAAAGGAAGAAACACAGUGUGCAGUAACAUUUGUGGGUGUCAACAUGCAUGCACACAAAUACAUUCCACUUGGACUUUCUGGAAGAUUUCCUCACUUUGUUGACCUAUUAGCUUGCAUAGGAGAGAGAAAUUAUAUUAAUUCAAGAAAUCUAAUAAAUUUAAACCCAGCUGUUUGCUCUUAAGUUAUAAGAGCAAAGAUCAUAGAAAUCCAGAGGCCAAGCCAUUUGACAAGUCCAUGGCAGGGCUGAGAAGGGGAGGGAGUGAAAUGUUAUCCAAUCUGGGUGCAGCUCCACAGUGAUUUUAACAGUUGUCUACUAUGAAUUCUAAAU